rnacentral:rRNA from 1 species
UACGGGGGGGGCAAGCGUUGUUCGGAAUUACUGGGCGUAAAGGGCGCGUAGGCGGCCAUCUAAGUCAGACGUGAAAUCCCUCGGCUCAACCGAGGAACUGCGUCUGAUACUGGAUGGCUUGAGGUUGGGAGAGGGAUGCGGAAUUCCAGGUGUAGCGGUGAAAUGCGUAGAUAUCUGGAGGAACACCGGUGGCGAAGGCGGCAUCCUGGACCAAUUCUGACACUGAGGAGCGAAAGCCAGGGGAGCAAACGGG